rnacentral:lncRNA from 1 species
AAAGAAUUCAGGAAUCACCUUUUUCAAAUGUUUCAUUCCCUUUUUCCAUUCCUUAAAGGUAAUGAACUCCCCAAAGGCAGAGACGUUAAUGGAUGAAUGAAGAAAUGAAAUGAGAAGGAGCUAGAAAUGGAACAUGCUAUCUGUGAUGGUGCCUGCAGAGCUGUCUGCAUCCCAUUAUGCCUCACUGUAUGGAAAGCCUCCGAGGGACUGGAGAUUUGUCUAUGAUCAGUGCAUAUUCCGCUCUGUGUACGAAUCACAAAUGUUGAUAGAAAUAGCCAUGGGGUGUGCAAAGAACCCAUUUCGUAUGUCAGAAGAGUUGGGCCUCCGUUAGAUGAAAUGUCAAGGGAAGGCAGAUAUCUCAAUGGGAAAUGACCUUAAGAAAGCCCCGACCUCGCCAAAGAUGACCUUUUUGCAGCAAGAAACAUUAAAAUUACAACCAUAUUCAUGUUUUAGUUUCAAAAACAAUAUGUAUUUCUCCUCCACACUCUCCUGGCUUGGCAACCUACAUAUCUUAAAUAAAGAUA